AUCAUGUUUGCAGUGGCUCAAAUAUUUGUCCCAUCUUCCCAUCAAAGGCCAUUUUCUCCAAGUUCCUCUCCUACCUUCCUGAGUGGAGAUGGUCCCUUCUGAGCAGGGAGAGCAAUCAUAGCAGCAGGAUGGCUUCCCUUCCUGAACUUUUCUGGAAUAUCCAGGGAGACAGCUUUCUGUGCAUCUUGAUUGAGGUACGGUCUAGGCAUGAAGAGAAAACUGAGCACUAAGGAGAAAGUGAUAUGUGCAUUUGUGCCUUGGGACACAGAUAAUAGAAUUUUGGAAGGAUCCCAGAGAAGAGAUAUUUGCUUCUGAUAACCUCAAGCGACCCCAGUCCCUAUUUUGGGGCAGUUACAUUUUUCUUUGUUUUUUGCAGAGCUGCAUGGCAGAGACACCUUUUUGGUGC